UACGGAGGAUCCAAGCGUUAUCCGGAUUUAUUGGGUUUAAAGGGUGCGUAGGCGGAAUAGUAAGUCAGUGGUGAAAACCUGCAGCUUAACUGCAGAACUGCCAUUGAUACUGCUAAUCUUGAGUACAUUUGAUGUGGGCGGAAUGUGUCAUGUAGCGGUGAAAUGCAUAGAUAUGACACAGAACACCGAUUGCGAAGGCAGCUCACAAAACUGUAACUGACGCUGAGGCACGAAAGCGUGGGGAUCAAACAGG
rnacentral:rRNA from 1 species